rnacentral:rRNA from 1 species
AACGAACGCUGGCGGCAGGCUUAACACAUGCAAGUCGAACGCCCGUAGCAAUACGGGAGUGGCGGACGGGUGAGUAACGCGUGGGAACGUGCCCUGAGGUACGGAAUAACUGCGGGAAACUGCAGCUAAUACCGUAUGAGCCCCGCAAGGGGGAAAGAUUUAUCGCCUUAGGAGCGGCCCGCGUCGGAUUAGCUAGUUGGUGGGGUAACGGCUUACCAAGGCUUCGAUCCGUAGCUGGUCUGAGAGGACGAUCAGCCACACUGGGACUGAGACACGGCCCAGACUCCUACGGGAGGCAGCAGUGGGGAAUCUUGCGCAAUGGGGGCAACCCUGACGCAGCCAUGCCGCGUGAAUGGUGAAGGCCUUAGGGUUGUAAAGCUCUUUUGCCAGGGACGAUAAUGACGGUACCUGGAGAAUAAGCCCCGGCAAACUUCGUGCCAGCAGCCGCCGUAAGAC